AACGAACGCUGGCGGCAUGCCUAACACAUGCAAGUCGAACGAGACCUUCGGGUCUAGUGGCGCACGGGUGCGUAACGCGUGGAAUCUGCCCUUGGGUUCGGAAUAACAGUUAGAAAUGACUGCUAAUACCGGAUAAUGCCUUCGGACCAAAGAUUUAUCGCCCAGGGAUGAGCCCGCGUAGGAUUAGCUAGUUGGUGAGGUAAAGGCUCACCAAGGCGACGAUCCUUAGCUGGUCUGAGAGGAUGAUCAGCCACACUGGGACUGAGACAC
rnacentral:rRNA from 1 species